GGGGGGGGCUGUUUGAUGAGUCGGUGGCAGCAAUGUGUAACUUUCAGCCCUUUCUCCUGGAGCCCCCGGUGGCGCAAGGAGUGAAACCCUUAUGCCAGAAGGACUGCUGACCAAAAGGUCGGGGUUCGAAUCCGGGGAGAGGGCUGAGCGGAACAUGAGAGAAGCAAGCCUCCCACUGGAUGCUAAAAUCUGGAUGAAGAUUGGACCCAGAAUACCUGCAAUAGAAUAAAGAAAAGGAGGAGGCAGAAAAAGAUCCAGUGGCAAAUAUUAUCAAUUAAAAACAUGAGUCAACACAUGCGUCACUCUUAUGUAUUUGCUAAAUGCAAUCUGAUAUGAUACGCCUGUCCUUUGCCAACACACCUGUGAUCUUGUAUAUAUGCGGCCAGUGGAUUAUGAAUUUGGGCUAAUGCCACUGAAAGCAAGUGGAGACAGCUUUUCUCUAAGAAGAUGAAGUAGAACGGAAAGCACGGUAGCUAAAUUCCUGGAUCCGUGACUUACCCCUAAUCUUCUAAUGCAAAUAAAGGAUUAAUGUUAGUCUUA